rnacentral:rRNA from 1 species
GACGAACGCUGGCGGCGUGCCUAAUACAUGCAAGUCGAACGCAGUGGGGACGGGUGAGUAACACGUGGGUAACCUCCCAUCAGAGGGGAUAACACUUGGAAACAGGUGCUAAACCGAUACUGAUGGAUGGACCCGCGGUGCAUUAGCUGGUGGGGGGGGUAACGUCUCACCACGGCAAGGAUGCAUAGCCGGUCUGAGAGGUGGAGCGGCCACACUGGGACUGAGACACGGCCCAGACUCCUACGGGAGGCAGCAGUAGGGAAUCUUCGGCAAUGGACGAAAGUCUGACCGAGCAACGCCGCUUGAGUGAAGAAGGUUUUCGGAUCGUAAAACUCUGUUGUUAGAUAAGCGGUAUCUAACCAGAAAGCCACGGCUAACUACGUGCCAGCAGCCGCGGUAAUUC